GACCCGCCGUUUGAUCUCGCCUACAUCACCACAACGCAUUUCCUCGAGCGCAUUCAUCCAAAAACGCUGGUGGUGAACAACCCAGCCAGCGUGCGCAACGCGCCGGAAAAAAUCUUCGUGAUGGAAUUCGCGGACCUGAUGCCGCCGACGCUGAUUUCGCGCGACAAGGACGAGAUCAACGCCUUCCGCGCCGAGCAGGGCGACGUGGUGAUGAAGCCGCUGUACGGCCAUGGCGGCGCUGCGGGGUNNNNNNNNNNNNCGAACGACAUGAACUUUGGUUCGCUCUACGACAUGUUCUCGGUGACGUUCCGCGAGCCGUGGGUGAUCCAGCGCUUUCUUCCCGAAGUGAAGCAUGGCGACAAGCGCAUCAUCCUUGUCGACGGCGAAUUCGCCGGCGCCGUGAACCGCGUGCCGGCCGCAGACGAUCUGCGCUCCAACAUGGUGCGCGGCGGCGCAGCGGCCGCGACCGAUCUGUCGCCGCGCGAGCGCGAAAUCUGCGAACGGCUGAAGCCCGCGCUGCGCGAGCGCGGCCUCCUGUUCGUCGGCAUCGAUGUGAUCGACGGCCACCUGACGGAAAUCAACGUCACCUCGCCGACCGGCAUCCGGGCC
rnacentral:misc_RNA from 1 species